AAAACAAGAUGGACGUCAGAUGUCAUCAAGUAAUAUAAUCUCAUGGUUCUUAAUUACGAUAAUCCUUAAAGACACCAAUGCUUGUGUUUGGUAAUUUAAAAAUCACUGAUAAAUACAGACCAAUAGUUAUGAUUUGUUCCUGUUUGUGAUAAACUGGGGUGUUUGGUAGGAUGGAAUUGCAAUUACAUUCCUACCAAAUUCCAUGGAAUUUCUAUUCCAUAAUUUGGUUGGAGGGGAUUGCAAUCCCUCCAACCAUGGAAUUGUAAUACAUAGGGUCCCCCGAUGAAUUGCAAUUCCACAAAAAAAUACAGUUUUGCCCUUUUAUUA